GACGAACGUUGGCGGCGUGCUUAACACAUGCAAGUCGAACGGUGAUGCUCCAGCUUGCUGGCGUGGAUCAGUGGCGAACGGGUGAGUAACACGUGAGCAGCCUGCCCCAGACUCUGGAAUAAGCGCUGGAAACGGCGUCUAAUACUGGAUACGAAACUGGCCCGCAUGGGCAUGGUUUGGAAAGUUUUUCGGUUUGGGAUGGGCUCGCGGCCUAUCAGCUUGUUGGUGAGGUAAUGGCUCACCAAGGCGACGACGGGUAGCCGGCCUGAGAGGGCGACCGGCCACACUGGGACUGAGACACGGCCCAGACUCCUACGGGAGGCAGCAGUGGGGAAUAUUGCACAAUGGGCGAAAGCCUGAUGCAGCGACGCCGCGUGAGGGAUGACGGCCUUCGGGUUGUAAACCUCUUUCAGCAGGGAAGAAGCGAAAGUGACGGUACCUGCAGAAGAAGCACCGGCUAACUACGUG
rnacentral:rRNA from 1 species